rnacentral:rRNA from 1 species
GAUCAUGGCUCAGGAUGAGCGCUAGCUACAGGCUUAACACAUGCAAGUCGAGGGGCAUCAGGAAGAAAGCUUGCUUUCUUUGCUGGCGACCGGCGCACGGGUGAGUAACACGUAUCCAACCUACCCUUUACUCGGGGAUAGCCUUUCGAAAGAAAGAUUAAUACCCGAUGGCAUAAUGAUUCCGCAUGGUUUCAUUAUUAAAGGAUCGUAAGGAUGGGAAUGCGUUCCAUUAGGUUGUUGGUG